rnacentral:rRNA from 1 species
AGUGAAGCGGCAACAGCUCAAAUUUGAAAUCUGGCGCAAGCCCGAGUUGUAAUUUGUAGAGGAUGCUUCUGGCCAGCGGCCGUUCUAAGUUCCUUGGAACAGGACGUCAUAGAGGGUGAGAAUCCCGUAUGUGACCGGCGCGCAGCCUUUACGUAGCUCCUUCGACGAGUCGAGUUGUUUGGGAAUGCAGCUCUAAAUGGGAGGUAAAUUUCUUCUAAAGCUAAAUACCGGCCAGAGACCGAUAGCGCACAAGUAGAGUGAUCGAAAGAUGAAAAGCACUUUGGAAAGAGAGUUAAAAAGCACGUGAAAUUGUUGAAAGGGAAGCGCUUGCAACCAGACUUCGUAGCGAUGUUCCGCUGGUCUUCUGACCGGUCUACUCAUCGUCGCGAGGCCAACAUCGUCUGGGCCCGCUGGAUAAGACCUAAGGAAUGUGGCUUCUCUUCGGGGAAGUGUUAUAGCCUGUGGUGAUGCAGCGUGGCUCGGGCGAGGUCCGCGCUUCGGCAAGGAUGUUGGCGUAAUGGUUGUCAGCGGCCCGUCUUGAAACACGGACCAAGGAGUCUAACAUCUAUGCGAGUGUUCGGGUGUCAAACCCCUACGCGUAAUGAAAGUGAACGGAGGUGGGAAGCGCAAGCUGCACCAUCGACCGAUCCUGAUGUCCUCGGAUGGAUUUGAGUAAGAGCAUAGCUGUUGGGACCCGAAAGAUGGUGAACUAUGCCUGAAUAGGGUGAAGCCAGAGGAAACUCUGGUGGAGGCUCGCAGCGGUUCUGACGUGCAAAUCGAUCGUC